rnacentral:rRNA from 1 species
AUUGAACGCUGGCGGCAUGCUUUACACAUGCAAGUCGAACGGUAACAGGGAGCUUGCUCCGCUGACGAGUGGCGAACGGGUGAGUAAUGCGUCGGAACGUGCCGAGUAGUGGGGGAUAACGCAUCGAAAGGUGUGCUAAUACCGCAUACGUACUGAGGGAGAAAGUGGGGGACCUUCGGGGCUCACGCUAUUCGAGCGGCCGACGUCUGAUUAGCUAGUUGGUGAGGUAAAGGCUCACCAAGGCGACGAUCAGUAGCGGGUCUGCGAGGAUGAUCCGCCAAACUGGGACUGAGACACGGCCCAGACUCCUCCGGGAGGCAGCAGUGGGGAAUUUUGGACAAUGGGCGCAAGCCUGAUCCAGCCAUGCCGCGUGUCUGAAGAAGGCCUUCGGGUUGUAAAGGACUUUUGUCCGGGAGCAAAUGCUGGUGGCUAACAUCCACCGGAGCUGAGAGUACCGGAAGAAUAAGCACCGGCUAACUACGUGCCAGCCGCCGCCGUAACAC